UGUGUACUUCUUUUUACGUGUGUUUACUUUCUCUUCGUUUUUUUGCUUGCUUCCUCUAUGAGCAAGAGAAGAACCAACGAAUGAUUAUUGGAGAUCCACUAGAAACACCACAACAACGAUACAUGGAAGUCAUGGUGUAUUUUAGUUGUGACUAGUAGUAAGAGCUCAUAAGCCACUGGUCCGACACACCUUACGACCUGAAAGGGCCCAAAAUAGUGUUUGUUGAUUUUCUGAAAGAUGCAAGUGGUGAUUGGUAUUAUACCAAUAUUUAGCUAGAGUCAAGUGAGCAUUCCAAUUUGGUGGGUGAGAUCAAGUAAAAUACCAUAUAAGUCUGAAGACAAUUGUUGACCACCAUGAAAUCGACAAAUUUCAAUCAUGAAUCGAUGAGCUAGACUGCUAGAGACUCAAGAGUGAACUUUGAUAGUAGUGCAAUAAAAUGAGAUCCAUUGUGAAUGAGAUACUUGAUCACCUUAUUGUUAUAGUGUAACGACCCGAUUUUCAUAACUCGAAAAUUUUGAAACUUUAUUAAAUGUAAAUAUUAGUUAAGUUUCU